rnacentral:lncRNA from 1 species
GCAAAGGAGCACUGUGAGGAUUUUGCCCACAGUCCCCUGGAAAAGGAGCUUUGGAAACUGGUGGGGCGAUGGUGAGGGCGAACACCGGGAGAAGGCCGGGGAUCAGCAAAUCCAUUGUGCUGCGCUGACAGAAAGAUCCUGUUACAACACACUUCAGCUGCCAACUUGCUGCAGUCACUCAAUCCAUCACGGUGGGCUGGGGGAUCACAAGCCAGUGAAACUCAGCCUGGCGUGUUAUUUUAGUCUUACAUGGACUGUGAGAUAAACGGGGCAUGAACCGGCCCCCUGGCAGGGGGUCGACCCCCGGCGCCCUCAUUAAAGUGCCAAUCAAAAAGAGUAAUGGAAGGGGGAAUGGAAAACUGGCUCCUCCAGCCUCGCACCGCCUUCAGCCCCGGCAACUUGCACAAGCCAAGGGAAAUAUUUCUGUUUUGAACAGGAGCCAGGCCUCCAGAAACGCUCCCUGCUCGUCUUGGAGCUCCUCCGGAGGUGGAAACCUGUCCCCAUGGCUGGCUGGGAGCACAGAAGGGCACCUGGGCACCCUGCAGAAGGAUCAACAGUUGGGAUUACAGCUCUUGAAGCAAAGUGUGUGAGUGGUAACAUCACGGAAUGACAACUGCCACAGAACAAGGAGAUCCCAUGUGAAGUCACACAG